rnacentral:lncRNA from 1 species
AUGAUUGAAAGAAUGCGAAAGUGUGCGGUACUGUCCACUGUGUAUGAACUAGAGUGGUGUAUUCUGGCUUUCACAGGAGUGAGAAUGGCGACGUGGAAUUCACCAAGCAAAUUUGAAAAGGUCGACGAGCCGGAGGUGUCGCGCGUGCGAACCGACAUACAACUGAUGUGUUAUGCUGCAAGGGACGAAGCUGUGCCAGCGGAGGAGCGCUAUCGACAAACGGUCCACACCGGCGGACUUGCCAUAGCAGUAAUCGCGAAGCUGGUCCGCCGAAGUCGGGCAGCCGAGCAGCGCGCAGCCUAUCUCAGCCGCCGGCUCAAGGAGCGUGACGCGACAAUCCGGCAGCAGGCGGAGAAGUUGACACAGUUACACUGUGAGUCGACGCCGUUUGUUGAUGAUGUAAAUGAGGCAGAAAUGCUGGCGGUGGUGGAGGAGGUGGAGCAGCAGCUUGAACGAGUAGCUGAUGACGGUGUCAGGGAGGUGAUGGAUGUUACGCCGAGGGAACUGUCAGAGGACGAGGAGUGA